ensembl:lncRNA
CAGUUGGAAGCAAUACAGUACCACUUAAAUAAAAACAUAUGCUUCAGAGACUUCAGCGAUGCGCUAGAUUUCAUCAUUUAUAACGAAAAGGUCAGUUGCACACUCAAUGUGCAUGUCACAUCUUAACACUAUAUUAGUAUAGUAAACUUAUAGUUAUACAAGCCAAGGUUGCAUUCUUAAAUGAAUAGUUCACCCAAAAUGAAAAAAAAAAAAAAAAUGAUUAUGGCAUUUUAAAACAUUUUUCAGAUUUGAAAGCAAUAUUUUGGAUUGAGAUCUCAUGGAUAUGGCUUUUAUUAUUCUCAAUCCAAUAUUUUUGGAUUGAGGUCUCAUAUUUUAGCUGGAAGCAUCUGUUUGAAGUCACACGGAUUAUUUGUGGAUAAUGGUGAUGUUAUUAUUAGCAGCUUGGACUCUUAUUCUGACGACACCCAUUCACUACAGAGGAUCCAUUGAUGAAGGUCAUGGCAGAGCUAAAGACUGUCUAGACAGGAGGACAUCAUCCCUGUCUCAGGGGCACUGUGUCACAGACUGACAUUGUCAGCUAAUCUCUUUUGGACACAGAGAAUACAAAAAGUGUGCCACACCGAACUAGACGUGCACUGUGUAAUCCUGCAGGAAGAGGUAUGGUCCGCUUGGCACUGGAUUUCAGGAAUGAGUUAAGAUCAUAGCCAUGGAGAAUUUCCAGAGUUACAACAAUGGAACUGAAAGCCAUGCCACAACACACACACACACACACUCACUCACGCUUUCUCUAGAGAGCAAACUCAAAUCCGCCUCUGCAUCCAAUAACCCAUUAAAAUGUUUUAUGCUACUCUGAGACUGACGCUUUUAUGGGUUUUAUUGAGAGCCUCUGUUCUACAAUAAUGCUGUAAAUGAAAUGGGUCACAAAACAAUAAAUACUGACAGACUGAGACAUUUGGCUGAUGUUUUCUUCUAUUCUCUCUUGGGGGAAUUCACCAAAAAAGACAUGCAUCUGAAGUUUAUGUUGGUUUUUAUGUAAUGGUGCAAAUAGCCUAUGUUUACAAACUCUGUGCUGUUUGGACGCCUAUUUCUGCCUAAAGAAAAAAUGUCAAUGUAUAGUAAAUCAUAAUCACAAUAAUUAUAAUUAUGAUACAAUUACGAUAUGCUAUGUCAAUUAUCAGAUAAGAAGUCUAAAUUAUUACAGUCAAUUUUGAGAUAAAAAGUCUAAAUUUUGACAUAAGUCAAUUUUGAGAUAACGUUUAAAUUAUGAGUAAAAAUUGAGAUAGUCAAAAAUUAUGGAGAAUUUUGAAUUUAAUCAUGACUUACGAGAUAAGUCAUAAUGAUGAGAUGAACUGUCAUAAAC